GAAAGGCGGGCUAAUACCGGAUAAUAUCUAAAAAACCUCGGUUUUAUAGAUCAAAGGUGGCCUCUACAUGUAAGCUUCUGUUUGAGGAUGAGCCCGCGUACCAUUAGCUUGUUGGUAGGGUAAUGGCCUACCAAGGCUACGAUGGUUAGCUGGUCUGAGAGGAUGAUCAGCCACACUGGAACUGACACACGGUCCAGACUCCUACGGGAGGCAGCAGUGAGGAAUCUUGCGCAAUGGGGGAAACCCUGACGCAGCAACGCCGCGUGAGUGAUGAAGGCUUUCGGGUCGUAAAGCUCUGUCAAGUGGGAAGAACCCACAUGGUGUUAAUACCGCCAUGUGCUGACGGUACCACUGAAGGAAGCACCGGCUAACUCCGUGCCAGCAGCCGCGGUAAUACGGGGGGUGCAAGCGUUAUUCGGAAUUACUGGGCGUAAAGAGCGCGUAGGCGGUCUCUUAAGUCAGGUGUGAAAGCCCGGGGCUCAACCCCGGAAGUGCACUUGAAACUAAGGGACUUGAGUAUGGGAGAGGGAAGUGGAAUUCCUGGUGUAGCGGUGAAAUGCGUAGAUAUCAGGAGGAACAUCGGUGGCGAAGGCGACUUCCUGGACCAAUACUGACGCUGAGGCGCGAAGGCGUGGGGAGC
rnacentral:rRNA from 1 species